GGGGUUGUGGCUCAGUGGUAGAGCGUACGCUUUGCACAUGUGAGGCACUGGGUUUGUUCCUCAGCACCACA
rnacentral:tRNA from 1 species